UAAAAUAUUAACAGUGGCUAUAUGUUCUUUUAUAAAAGAAAUAAUGACAUUACUGAAAGCUAGCCCAAUCAUGCGAGUCUCACCCGGCUGUAGAUUAAACGGCUUAUCCAGAGGUUGUACAAGGUCAGGUCGGCUGCAGUGGACACUAAACAUCUUGGGCACAGUAACAUCCUGGUCCUGUAAACUCAAAUAGAACAUCUUGGUCCUGUAAACUCAACUAGAACAUCUUGGUCUUGUAAACUCAUCUAGAACAUCUUGGUUCUGUAAACUCAACAAGAACAUCUUGGUCCUGUAAACUCAACAAUAACAUCUUGGUCCUGUAAACUCAAC